GACGAACGCUGGCGGCGUGCUUAACACAUGCAAGUCGAACGGAAAGGCCUCUUCGGAGGUACUCGAGUGGCGAACGGGUGAGUAACACGUGGGUGAUCUGCCCUGCACUCUGGGAUAAGCCUGGGAAACUGGGUCUAAUACCGGAUAGGACCAUGCUUUAGUGUGUGUGGUGGAAAGUUUUUUCGGUGUAGGAUGAGCCCGCGGCCUAUCAGCUUGUUGGUGGGGUAAUGGCCUACCAAGGCGGCGACGGGUAGCCGGACUGAGAGGUUGGUCGGCCACAUUGGGACUGAGAUACGGCCCAGACUCCUACGGGAGGCAGCAGUGGGGAAUAUUGCACAAUGGGCGCAAGCCUGAUGCAGCGACGCCGCGUGAGGGAUGACGGCCUUCGGGUUGUAAACCUCUGUUAGCAUCGAAGAAGCGAAAGUGACGGUAGGUGCAGAGAAAGCGCCGGCUAACUACGUGCCAGCAGCCGCGGUAAUACGUAGGGCGCGAGCGUUGUCCGGAAUUAUUGGGCGUAAAGAGCUUGUAGGCGGUUGGUCGCGUCUGCUGUGAAAGGCCGGGGCUUAACUCCGGUUUUGCAGUGGGUACGGGCUAACUAGAGUGCAGUAGGGGAGACUGGAAUUCCUGGUGUAGCGGUGGAAUGCACAGAUAUCAGGAGGAACACCGAUGGCGAAGGCAGGUCUCUGGGCUGUAACUGACGCUGAGAAGCGAAAGCAUGGGGAGCGAACAGGAUUAGAUACCCUGGUAGUCCAUGCCGUAAACGUUGGGCACUAGGUGUGGGGGACAUUCCACGUUUUCCGCGCCGUAGCUAACGCAUUAAGUGCCCCGCCUGGGGAGUACGGCCGCAAGGCUAAAACUCAAAGGAAUUGACGGGGGCCCGCACAAGCGGCGGAGCAUGCGGAUUAAUUCGAUGCAACGCGAAGAACCUUACCAAGGCUUGACAUGCAUUAGAUCGCGUCAGAGAUGGCGUUUCCCUUCGGGGCUGGUGUACAGGUGGUGCAUGGUUGUCGUCAGCUCGUGUCGUGAGAUGUUGGGUUAAGUCCCGCAACGAGCGCAACCCUCGUUCUAUGUUGCCAGCGGUUCGGCCGGGGACUCAUAGGAGACUGCCGGGGUCAACUCGGAGGAAGGUGGGGAUGACGUCAAAUCAUCAUGCCCCUUAUGUCUUGGGCUUCACGCAUGCUACAAUGGCCGGUACAGAGGGUUGCGAUACUGUGAGGUGGAGCUAAUCCCUUAAAGCCGGUCUCAGUUCGGAUUGGGGUCUGCAACUCGACCCCAUGAAGUCGGAGUCGCUAGUAAUCGCAGAUCAGCAACGCUGCGGUGAAUACGUUCCCGGGCCU
rnacentral:rRNA from 1 species